UACUUGCUCUUCUGGAUGAGUUGCGAACGGGUGAGUAACGCGUAGGUAACCUGCCUGGUAGCGGGGGAUAACUAUUGGAAACGAUAGCUAAUACCGCAUAACAUUGACUAUUGCAUGAUAGUCAAUUGAAAGGUGCAAUUGCACCACUACCAGAUGGACCUGCGUUGUAUUAGCUAGUUGGUGGGGUAACGGCUCACCAAGGCGACGAUACAUAGCCGACCUGAGAGGGUGAUCGGCCACACUGGGACUGAGACACGGCCCAGACUCCUACGGGAGGCAGCAGUAGGGAAUCUUCGGCAAUGGACGGAAGUCUGACCGAGCAACGCCGCGUGAGUGAAGAAGGUUUUCGGAUCGUAAAGCUCUGUUGUAAGAGAAGAACGAGUGUGAGAGUGGAAAGUUCACACUGUGACGGUAUCUUACCAGAAAGGGACGGCUAACUAC
rnacentral:rRNA from 1 species